CAACAGCUCAAAUUUGAAAUCUGGCCUCGGCCCGAGUUGUAAUUUGCAGAGGAUGCUUUUGGUGCGGUGCCUUCCGAGUUCCCUGGAACGGGACGCCACAGAGGGUGAGAGCCCCGUAUGGUUGGACACCAAUCCUGUGUAAAGCUCCUUCGACGAGUCGAGUAGUUUGGGAAUGCUGCUCUAAAUGGGAGGUAAAUCUCUUCUAAAGCUAAAUACCGGCCAGAGACCGAUAGCGCACAAGUAGAGUGAUCGAAAGAUGAAAAGCACCUUGAAAAGGGGGUUAAACAGUACGUGAAAUUGUUGAAAGGGAAGCACUUGUGACCAGACUUGGGCCGGGCGGCUCAUCAGGGGUUCUCCCCUGUGCACUCCGCCCGGUACAGGCCAGCAUCGGUUUUUGCCGGGGGAUAAGAACGGUAGGAACGUGGCUCCCCUUCGGGGGUGUGUUAUAGCCUGCCGUACGAUACCCUGGCGGGGACCGAGGUUCGCGCUUCCGCAAGGAUGCUGGCGUAAUGGUUACUAGUGACCCGUCUUGAAACACGGACCAAGGAGUCGUCCAUUAGAGCGAGCGUUUGGGUGUCAAACCCGCACGCGUAAUGAAAGUGAAAUUAGGUGAGAGCUUCGGCGCAUCAUCGACCGAUCCUGAUGUUCUCGGAUGGAUUUGAGUAAGAGUUUUAACGGACGGACCCGAAAGACAGUGAACUAUGCUUGUAUAGGGUGAAGCCAGAGGAAACUCUGGUGGAGGCUCGCAGCGGUUCUGACGUGCAAAUCGAUCGUCAAAUAUGAGCAUGGGGGCGAAAGACUAAUCGAACUGUCUAGUA
rnacentral:rRNA from 1 species